rnacentral:rRNA from 1 species
UGGGGAAUAUUGGGCAAUGGGCGAAAGCCUGACCCAGCAACGCCGCGUGAGGGAAGAAGGGUUUCGGCUCGUAAAACCUCUGUCCUAUGGGACGAAGGAAGUGACGGUACCAUAGGAGGAAGCCCCGGCUAACUACGUGCCAGCAGCCGCGGUAAUACGUAGGGGGCGAGCGUUGUCCGGAAUGAUUGGGCGUAAAGGGCGCGUAGGCGGCCUGCUAAGUCUGGAGUGAAAGUCCUGCUUUCAGGUGGGAAUUGCUUUGGAUACUGGGAGGCUGGAGUGCAGGAGAGGAAAGCGGAAUUACCGGUGUAGCGGUGAAAUGCGUAGAGAUCGGUAGGAACACCAGUGGCGAAGGCGGCUUUCUGGACUGAAACUGACGCUGAGGCGCGAAAGCGUGGGGAGCAAACAGGAUUAGAUACC